CAGGUGCCUGAUGAGGGCAGCCAUUUUGAACAAGGCAUAUAAAUGCUGCAGUUCCCUAUGGCCAGGGGAGGCAGAAACAUUGUUUAGCUGAGUUGCAGCAGGAACAGCCUUGGAGCACAUGAGAACCCAGUCAUACCAGGAUACCUUUGAGCUAGGACUCUACAAGCAGACAACAAAAGCAAAAAAAAGUGGACCUUCUGCCAAAGAGCUUACGACCCAAAACAAGGAGCAAAUGGAUACAAAGAAGAGAGUGCAAUGACUGCUGGUCAGAAUGCCAGGGUGAUAACUUAUUAAUCUUCUGAUGCAACAUUGUCCAUGGCUCCACUUUUUACAAAGAAUCUGUACGAGCUCGUGGUGCUGGGCAUUUUCUUGGCUUGGUGUUCUUUCACACAGCAUUUGUUGCUCCUUGGCUGUUUUUGUGAACCGUGCUCGAGUUCUGCAUGCCUUUCUGCUUCAAGACUUUUCUUGUAGAACUUGGAUUUCUAUCAUGUCCAGUGUCAGAUCAACAGUACUCCAUAAACUUCAGUCUGGACUG